CAACAAGUCCUCCAACUCAUACGACCGUAUGGGUCGUUUGUCACUAUCCAUAAAUACGACCCACACGAGCGUUCUCUAAAUUAGCGCCCCUAUUGGCAACAGGAGGUAUGAUAAAUGAACUUUCGCCUAAAUGCAUUGUGGGUUUAUUUUAACAUGUUUGCUAUUUGCGUUUUGAAUUGUUUGAUUUAAACUCUCCCAGAUGUUCGUGGAUUUUGAUGAUAUGGAUUUUAGAUGACUUCGAGACAUGUACAGUUUUGCAGUUUCUUCAUAUCACAUACAUCUCCAGCUCCUACAACAACAUUCAGUGUCCAGCAGCUCUUUAUGAUGCGCUCUCUCUCUCUCUCUCUCUCUCUCUCUCUCUUUCUCUCUCACUCUCUCUCUCUCUCUCUCUCUCUCAUUUUCCUUUCCUAUUUUUCUGAACUGUAAUUCAUAAAUAAGUCACACAUAUUUUUCUUUCUUUCUCUUGUUCAUCAUGGCAUAUUUUCACAGCUCAGAAUCAGAUUUUGAUCAGUUCUUGUAUUAACAGGGAACUUGUACUCGAAGCUCAACUUGAAGAAGUUUCCAGUGAAGAUGAAGUCCUUCAAAGGUUCGACACAGCUGAAAAGGAAGACCAUGGGCCUGUCAAACCUUGUUUGUGGAGAGGGAUGAAUUUGACCAUCUUGUGUGUUUACGGAGAAGACCAAAAGCUGCUAAGGCAGAUAUUUCCAGAGGUACAAACAGAGCGGAUGGUUGCAUGAUGGCCUCUUUCAGGUUUGUCAACUGAAUGUCUACUAGUGUGGCUCAGCAAGUUCCUGUCAUGAUCAGCCCUCUCCAAGAAAGCUGAAGAGCAAAAACACAAAGAACAUCAGUCCUGUUGGGGAUGAGGAAUGAACAUGGCUCUAUUGUGCCCAAACAGAAAAGAGUGAAAAGUCCUAGAAUGAACAAAUCAUCAGGGCAUCAUUUCUGGAAUUUGGGCAGAAAAUGACUGAAUAUGAAAGACUGCAGUAGAAGGAAAGCUGGUACUGAGAACAUUUGUCUUCACUCCAGACUAAAGAGAAGCGGGUCUGAGGCCAGAGAUGGAGGAGUCAAUGGUCACCAAAUGCAGCGCUGCAGCCUGAAACUGUGAAGACUGAAUUCCCAAACAGCUGUGUGACUGCACAGAUGUUACGGCCAUAAAAGAAACUUCACAACUGAGAGCCCAUACCUCCAACAACCUUCAACAGGAAUCAAUGGACAUCUACGCAAGGUUUUUCUUUUGUUGAGGACCGUCAGAGACUCCAGCCACACGAGCCAUGGAUUGCUCUCAACAUCACCAUCAGACAGACAUUAUCACAGAACCAGCACCAGCAGACUGCAAAACAAGUUCCUUCAACAGGCAAUCAGACUGAACUGAACUCGUACCAGUAACACCACACACACACACAUACACACACCAGCAGCCUCAUACUGUGUGCACUGCACUCUAUCAGCUACACUGACUGGACUCUGACUCACUAUUAUUCUGCAACCUGAUAUUCUGUUUGCACUAAUUCAUACUGUACUGAAAGUGAAAGUGACGUGACAUACAGUCAAGUAUGGUGACCCAUACUCAGAAUUUGUGCUCUGCAUUUAACCCAUCCGAAGUGCACACACACAGAGCAGUGAACACACACACACUGUGAACACACACCCGGAGCAGUGGGCAGAGGUAUAUCUACAGUAUACAGUGAUUGUUGUUAAUUGUUUUCAUUUUGUUCUCUCUGUAUAGUAUAGUAUUGCACUAUAUUUUCUACCUGUAUUGAGCUCUUAUGUAUACGGUUUAUAUUUUUGAUACUGUAUAUGUGUUGCAAAUAUAUUCAGUAAUUGUCAUGCUGCAGUUUGCAGAAAAGCAUUUUACCACCUGUAUACUUGCAUUGUGAUAAUAAAAUGAUUUGAUUUGAAUUGGUCACAUGCCUUGUUCAUCAGUUGUAUUGUUGUGCUGGAUAACAAUUGCAAAUUGUUUAUGACAUUGAAGAAGAUCAUGAUAGAGACAUGGAUUUGAAGAAAACCAGGAGAGCUCUGAUGAUGAGAAGGAAACUGGAUGUGAUUCUUUGGUGCUCAAGACAUUUCACCAUGCCUUCAUCUGGGUUUCUUCAUCUGAUUAAAAUAAAAUGGUUUUAAUGUAACCCAUUUUUAUUUCACUUGAAUAUAAUUUGUCUUAAUAUGCUUCUUUAUCUGUCUUCAUGCUGCAUCCUAGUAAAAUAUUGCGUAUGGUGUUGGAUAAUCAAGUAUGGUGAAUAUUCUGUACUAGAGAUGGUUUUUUGGUAGAUACACCAUUUAAUUUUGUAAACAACACAUAUAAUCACCAUGGUUGUUUUGAUGAAGACAUGAACAUUUAGUAAUAUUAAUGAAAUUCAGUUAGAUGAAGAGCUGCAUUAGAAGAGACUGCAUGGACUUCAUGCACAACUGAAGGUGAUGAAUCAAGGAAAGAUCAACAUGAAUCCUGUUCUGUAUUAUAAUGAAGAUGUUCAUGCACAUUACUGAUGUCUAGCUCCUGAGCAGGACAAAGAUGAGACAUUCUUUACAGAGAUUUAUGAAUUAGGUAUUUUAUAUUAUGAUUCUUUAAAUUGCAUGAAUUGUAUGGAACCAUAAACUGCACACUGUCACACAUUGUCUUACUGAAUGACACAUUGGCCUUGUCUGAUGAAAUGUCAGAAUAUGUAUUUGUUGUCUUUGUUUACUAUUAGCACUGUAUUAUUGCUCUUGAUCUUAUGAAAUAAAUUGAGCUCUUUCCAAAUGGGCACUUAUGUUGA